rnacentral:lncRNA from 12 species
AUGACCUUUCUAUUUCUCACAGGCAGAGACAUAUUCUCUGUUGAAACAGGAUUGAGUCAAGAAGCCACAGACCAGGCCUGUCACCCACCCCUACACGCGGUCAGCACGUCGCCUUUCAACUUUGGCCCAUGGAGCUGCUGCUGCCAAACCCCAACCUGCUGGCUUCUCAAAUUCUGCCACUUCUUGGUUCAGGGCCCCUUAAUCAGCCUCCAGGGACACCAUAUUGUCUCCUUGAGGCAAGACCCAGAAACGGACAAGAACUCCUUUCUCAUCUUGCUGCUUUCUAACAAAGAAAAGGCAUCAUUUCAAGGCUGAGAAUGAGGUUCCAAGGUUGAAGAGUCAAAUAUUGGUUCUCUGUGGGCACAUCAAAUGAGUUUUUCUUCCCUACCCUGUCUUUUCAUUAUGUCUGUAUCAGUCAGUGUCCUGUUGCAGAGAAAAGAAUCUACUCUACUCAAUAUAACCAGAAGGGAUUUACUUGAGAACGUUAAAUGCCACACAAGAUCAUUAGGAGUGCUGAAGACCCUGACUCUUGAUGAGGUUUUCAGGAAUCAUUCAGAAAGCUACACUGCAGAACUGGGUUAAGGGAGCUGCUGUCUCUGCCACUGUCCAGAAGCUGUAAGAGCAGGAAACUGCAUAUGACAUCAAGAGGAUGAUGCUACAACAUCUGCCAGCUCAAGGGCCACACUACAUCUGCCAAUAGCUGCACCAGUAAAAUGGACUUCUGGUAUCAUGAUUCCCUAGCCAUAUGACUUAGUUUGAAAUAAAAAUUUUGUCCUAGUUCA